rnacentral:rRNA from 1 species
CCUACGGGUGGCAGCAGUCGAGAAUCAUUCACAAUGGGGGAAACCCUGAUGGUGCGACGCCGCGUGGGGGAAUGAAGGUCUUCGGAUUGUAAACCCCUGUCAUGUGGGAGCAAAUUAAAAAGAUAGUACCACAAGAGGAAGAGACGGCUAACUCUGUGCCAGCAGCCGCGGUAAUACAGAGGGCUCAAGCGUUGUUCGGAAUCACUGGGCGUAAAGCGUGCGUAGGCUGUUUCGUAAGUCGUGUGUGAAAGGUGCGGGCUCAACCCGCGGACGACACAUGAUACUGCGAGACUAGAGUAAUGGAGGGGGAACCGGAAUUCUCGGUGUAGCAGUGAAAUGCGUAGAGAUCGAGAGGAACACUCGUGGCGAAGGCGGGUUCCUGGACAUUAACUGACGCGGAGGCACGAAGGCCAGGGGAGCGAAAGGGAUUAGAUACCCGAGUAGUC